CCAAGGCUAUGGCGGCGCCGGGCGCUGCGGGUGGCCGGGCUCUGCUCCGGGGCCUCUUUCUCUGUGUCCCGCGAGGAGGAGCCGGCUCCGUAUCCCGGAGCCUCCGCAGUAGCGCUGUCAGGAGCAGCAGAGAGAAGAGAUUCCACCUUCCAGAAUCCACCACUGUCUUCCUCCCUUCCCACUGGCCCUGAGCUUUAUCUUUUUGUUACUAUUUAUUUCUUUUUAAGUAAUAGAAUAACACUCAGGAAUUUAAUGUUUCCUGAUAGGCUGGUAUGAGUGUAAAAUAUGACCCUUUAAUUGUCUUGAAAUAUGAAUUAAAAUGUUAUUUUAUCUCUU